rnacentral:rRNA from 1 species
UACGUAGGCAGCAAGCGUUGUUCGGAUUUACUGGGCGUAAAGCGCACGUAGGCGGAUCGUUAAGUCAGGGGGUGAAAUCCUGGAGCUCAACUCCAGAACUGCCUUUGAUACUGGCGAUCUCGAGUCCGGAAGAGGUGAGUGGAACUCCUAGUGUAGAGGUGGAAUUCGUAGAUAUUAGGAAGAACACCAGUGGCGAAGGCGGCUCACUGGUCCGGAACUGACGCUGAGGUGCGAAAGCGUGGGGAGCAAACAGG